rnacentral:tRNA from 2 species
GGAGAGAUGGCUGAGUGGUUUAAAGCAACGGUCUUGAAAACCGUCGUGUCGCAAGGCACCCAGAGUUCGAAUCUCUGUUUCUCCGCCA